CCUACGGGUGGCAGCAGUGGGGAAUAUUGGACAAUGGGCGCAAGCCUGAUCCAGCAAUGCCGCGUGUGUGAAGAAGGCCUUCGGGUUGUAAAGCACUUUUAUCAGGAGCGAAAUACUACCGGCUAAUACCCGGUGGGGCUGACGGUACCUGAGGAAUAAGCACCGGCUAACUUCGUGCCAGCAGCCGCGGUAAUACGAAGGGUGCAUGCGUUAAUCGGAAUUACUGGGGGUAAAGCGUGCGUUCGGGGUUGAAAUCCCCGGGCUCAACCUGGGAAUGGCAGUGGAUACUGGCAAGCUAGAGUGUGUCAGAGGAUGGUGGAAUUCCCGGUGUAGCGGUGAAAUGCGUAGAGAUCGGGAGGAACAUCAGUGGCGAAGGCGGCCAUCUGGGACAACACUGACGCUGAGGCACGAAAGCGUGGGGAGCAAACAGGAUUAGAUACCCUAGUAGUC
rnacentral:rRNA from 1 species